rnacentral:rRNA from 2 species
ACGGGAGGCAGCAGUGAGGAAUAUUGGUCAAUGGACGGAAGUCUGAACCAGCCAAGUCGCGUGAAGGAUGAAGGUUCUAUGGAUUGUAAACUUCUUUUGUCUGAGGGUAAAGUGUGGUACGUGUACCAUAUUGCAAGUAUCAGACGAAUAAGCAUCGGCUAACUCCGUGCCAGCAGCCGCGGUAAUACGGAGGAUGCGAGCGUUAUCCGGAUUUAUUGGGUUUAAAGGGUGCGUAGGCGGAAUGUUAAGUCAGUGGUAAAAGCGUGUGGCUCAACCAUACCAAGCCAUUGAUACUGGCGUUCUUGAGUGUAAACGAGGUAGGCGGAAUAUGACAUGUAGCGGUGAAAUGCUUAGAUAUGUCAUAGAACCCCGAUUGCGAAGGCAGCUUACCAGCAUACAACUGACGCUGAGGCACGAAAGCGUGGGUAUCAAACAGGAUUAGAUACCCUGGUA